rnacentral:rRNA from 1 species
GACGAACGCUGGCGGCGUGCUUAACACAUGCAAGUCGAACGGUAAGGCCCUUCGGGGUACACGAGUGGCGAACGGGUGGGUAACACGGGGGUGAUCUGCCCUGCACUUCGGGAUAAGCCUGGGAAACUGGGUCUAAUACCGGAUAGGACCACUGCCUGCAUGGGUGGUGGUUGAGAGCUUUUGCGGUGUGGGAUGGGCCCGCAGCCUAUCAGCUUGUUGGUGGGGUGAUGGCCUACCAAGGCGACGACGGGUAGCCGGCCUGAGAGGGUGACCGGCCACACUGGGACUGAGAUACGGCCCAGACUCCUACGGGAGGCAGCAGUGGGGAAUAUUGCACAAUGGGCGCAAGCCUGAUGCAGCGACGCCGCGUGAGGGAUGACGGCCUUCGGGUUGUAAACCUCUUUCAGCACCGACGAAGCGCAAGUGACGGUAGGUGCAGAAGAAGGACCGGCCAACUACGUGCCAGCCGCCGCCGUAA